UCAAGAGUUAAACUUGACUGCUCUAAGGAUAAAUGUAUUCCCUCACACACCCGCCAUUGAUUCAUUUAGGUAUGAAAAUGUGUGCCAAUUCUGACCAAAGAGAUGUAAGGAAAAGUUUCCUGCAGAUUUCUGGAAAGGUUUUCCUCAAAGAUAAAAAUGGGAAGCUCCGCCCUUUCUCCCACCGUCCACAAAGAAUGAAGCCUAAACUCCAGUGCCACUGUUGACAAUAACCAUGAGGUCAUUCAACCUUAGGAGAAAACCACAUUGCUGGUAACCAAGUGAAAAGGGAGAAUUUCACAGUGCGAAUUUUGAACUCUGCUUGGGAACCUCUUUGAAGAUCAGCCAGAAGAUGAUGGAAGUGCAAAUAACAUGCAGAAGCUCACAGCUGUCCUUCUGUAGUUCAUGCUGAGCUGGCAGUCAUUCUCCCAACAUGACAGAAGUCAGAUUACCCUGAGCAUCAGCCUUUUACAGCACAGAACAUGGGACUUCAUUAAAUCUCAGCAUUUACAUAUUCAUAAUUCGCAUCAGAAAAGAAGUCACUCCUCCCACCACAUAGACAGGAAGAAACUGCAAGAGGGAAAGAGAAGCCAGAUAUGCGCUUAUUAGAGCUGGUUACAAGAAAAGCCACGGAAAGGUGAAGAUGUCUCUCCAGACAUGUGUCUGACACGUGGUAGGUGUUUAAUGAGUACUUGCUCACUGAACAGUGCAGUGGUACAGACUGAGGAAAGGGGAAAUUACAGAGGAGAAGUUGAAUGCUGUGUCAUAGAGUGAGGUUGCAAACACUAAAGGAAUGGUUUUACAAGGAGGAAGAAUCGAAAAAGAGAAAGGAGUACUAAAAGACAGCUGGAGGGAAAGGAAAUGUGUAAUUGUGAUUUAUUCUUAGAGUAGCAAAGUCCUAGUAAAAAAAAAGAGAACAUUGAGUAAAUUUAAGAGAGGCUAUAAACCAGCUGCAGUACACAGAAGGAAGCAUGAAAUAAAGCUGCAUGGUACACAAGAGCCCUGAAGGGCAGGACUGGCUUCCCUGAAAACUUAGCAAGGAGGAGUUGGUGUCUAAAAUGAAGCAGAUCUGAAAAAUGUAAUUAUCUGUUUGGGUUUAAUGUAAACGCAUAGCGAGUCCGUUCUUCAAUUUUUCCAUGAGGAGAUUAAAUAAAUGUCAAAUAACCAGUUUGGGUUGAAAGUCCAAACUUAAGAACCUUAAUGAGACUGUGUCCCAAGUAGAAAUAUUUUAAUCUGGAUACACUUAUAGGCAGACUGACUUCAUAUUUUAUUAUGAAGCACCCUAGCUCUACUACCCAAAGAGGCCACAAAGCCAGCCUGAGCAGUCAAUUUUGAGGCUGAGAAUAAGGAACUCCCUCACUUCCCCCCUUAUGCAGGUAUAAGAACCACGAACAGACAAUGGCACUAACAGGAAGGAUGGACAGAGAGGAGAAAACAUUUUCUGAAUAAGGAUAAUUCUUGAGAACUGUAAAACCUCAUAUUUCGAUUUUAUAAUAUGGAAACCAGCUCUGUGUCUAAAAUAAA